rnacentral:rRNA from 1 species
UCACUUUAGGAUGGACCCGCGGCGUAUUAGCUUGUUGGUAAGGUAACGGCCUACCAAGGCAAUGAUACGUAGCCGACCUGAGAGGGUAAUCGGCCACAUUGGGACUGAGACACGGCCCAAACUCCUACGGGAGGCAGCAGUAGGGAAUCUUCCACAAUGGACGAAAGUCUGAUGGAGCAACGCCGCGUGAGUGAUGAAGGGUUUCGGCUCGUAAAACUCUGUUGUUGGAGAAGAACAGGUGUGAGAGUAACUGUUCACAUCUUGACGGUAUCCAACCAGAAAGCCACGGCUAACUACGUGCCAGCAGCCGCGGUAAUACGUAGGUGGCAAGCGUUGUCCGGAUUUAUUGGGCGUAAAGCGAGCGCAGGCGGUUUCUUAGGUCUGAUGUGAAAGCCUUCGGCUUAACCGGAGAAGUGCAUCGGAAACCAGGAGACUUGAGUGCAGAAGAGGACAGUGGAACUCCAUGUGUAGCGGUGAAAUGCGUAGAUAUAUGGAAGAACACCAGUGGCGAAGGCGGCUGUCUGGUCUGUAACUGACGCUGAGGCUCGAAAGCAUGGGUAGCGA